UGAGGAAUUUUGCGCAAUGGGGGAAACCCUGACGCAGCGACGCCGCGUGGAGGAUGAAGGCCUUCGGGUCGUAAACUCCUGUCAGAGGUGAAGAAUGCCCGCAAGGGUUUGACGGUAACCUCAGAGGAAGCCCCGGCUAACUACGUGCCAGCAGCCGCGGUAAUACGUAGGGGGCAAACGUUACUCGGAAUUACUGGGCGUAAAGGGUGCGUAGGCGGCUGGGAAAGUCAAGGAUGAAAUCCCGUGGCUCAACUGCGGAACGGUCCUUGAAACUACCCGGCUUGAGGGUAACCGAAGGGAGCGGAAUUCCCGGUGGAGCGGUGAAAUGCGUAGAUAUCGGGAGGAACACCUGAGGCGAAGGCGGUUCUCUAGACUACUCCUGACGCUGAGGCACGAAAGCUAGGGGAGCAAACGG
rnacentral:rRNA from 1 species